rnacentral:misc_RNA from 1 species
GAAUAUUAUUAUUUAAAAAAGCAGCCACGGCCAACAGAGAAGAACCAGCUGUUUUAAACUUAAAAUCAGUAACAAAAACCUUAUUACAAGGAAAUAAAUUAAAGAGAGAGCUUUAUACAAACAUUUUUGUUCUAUGGAAUUCCCAUUAAAUUAAUUCCAAAAUUAUCAAUCCCAUUAAGCUCUCAUAUUCCACGUGAUCCCCCUAACAAUUACCAAAAUGCCGAUCAAAUCUUCCUACUGCUUUUCCAAUGCUGAUCAACAAACGCUAAAAAUCAUGUCAUUAACAGCUGCACUUUCCUUUAUUUGGGUUUAAAUCCCAAAUGUCAUCCCACCUAAGCAGAAAAUACUCCACUGAAUGGUUUCCCAAUAGUAAUUUGAUUCUGAGGAAUUUUGUGAACCCAAAAACAGGCAGCUAUAACAAUGUAACACAGAAAAAGAACUACUCCUUUCAUGUAGUGUGAAGUUCCAUCCUGUAAAGUGAAGGCUGUGAUAAUUAUUGUAAAAGCAAGAGAACCGGUUUCAAGAAGACUGAAAUCAAGGUCCAUAUGGACAUGCAUUAUCCAGCCAACAACUACACAUAAAGGGACCACAAACAUCGAUAUCUGAGUGGCAGAUCCCAGUGCAACGCCCAAAGAAAUGUCCAACUUGUUCUUGAAAGCAAAUAUGAUUGAUCCUGCAUGUUCCGCUGCAUUCCCCACGAUGGGUAGCAAGAUUAUGCUAAUAAAGCUGACAGAAAUGCCCCAAGAAUCAGAUGCAGCCUCAAUUGUGCCCACAACAUACUCAGAUAAUAAUGCUAUAAUCAUUGUCAUGCCAAGUAACCAAGAAAAUGCACUGGAAAAUCCUAUCACUGCCUUUUCUUCUUCUUCUUCUCCCUCCUCCUGAGAUUCAAACAAUUGCCUGUGAGUUUUCAGCUGGAAGAAGAUAUAAGCAACAUAUGCUAAGAGCAUAACAAUGCUGCUAGCUCUAGACAGCUCAAGGGUAUAGUAGAAAGUAACAGGGCCUUCCCCUAUAGCAUAUCUGAACAUUAGUGGCAACAUGUGGCACAGCAACCCCAACAGUAGAAGUAGUGAGUUGACAUCAGCUUGCUUUCUAUCAUAUCUUUGUUCCUUUUUCAGGUUGGCCAAGCCUCCACAGAGCAGAGAGGUCCCAAGAACAAGGAGGAGGUUUGACAAGAUGGAACCCAAUAGGGAGUACUUCAAGACGUGUAUUUUAUUUUGGUAAAGAGCAAACAAUGCUAUUAUCAAUUCUGUUGCAUUACCACAAGUUGCAUUAAGAAGCCCUCCAACUGUUGGACCAGUGUAGUAUGCAAUUUGUUCAGUGAGGAAGCUGACACGUUCUGCAAGUGGGGUAAGUCCAAGUAAACUCAAAGCAAAUAGCCAAGCUCUGCCAAAUUUAUAAAAAUCGGCAGCUAUAGCAAGAGGAAUGGCU